CUAGCCGUAAACGAUGGGUACUAGGUGUAGGGGUUUCGAUACCUCUGUGCCGGAGUUAACGCAAUAAGUACCCCGCCUGGGGAGUACGGUCGCAAGACUAAAACUCAAAGGAAUUGACGGGGGCCCGCACAAGCGGUGGAGCAUGUGGUUUAAUUCGAUGCAACGCGAAGAACCUUACCAGGGUUUGACAUCCCUUGUCAGCUGUAGAGAUACAGUGUCUCUUUUAGAGCAAGGAGACAGGUGG
rnacentral:rRNA from 1 species